UGGAUCUCGGGGAGUAUUGAUGCAUAAUCCAACACUUGAUCUGAGGGCAGCUUAAGCCACCCAUAUGAUGUCAUCUUUGCAACUUAAUCCGU
rfam:Triticum aestivum genome assembly, contig: Triticum_aestivum_CS42_TGACv1_scaffold_032844_1BL